rnacentral:rRNA from 1 species
AGUGAACGCUGGCGGUAGGCCUAACACAUGCAAGUCGAACGGCAGUACAGAGGAGCUUGCUCCUUGGGUGGCGAGUGGCGGACGGGUGAGGAAUACAUAGGAAUCUACCUUUUCGUGGGGGAUAACGUAGGGAAACUUACGCUAAUACCGCAUACGACCUUCGGGUGAACGCCGAGGACCGUCGGGCCUGGCGCGCAUAGAUGCGCCGAUGUCGGAUUAGCUAGUUGGCGGGGUAAAGGACUACCAAGGCGACGAUCCGUAGCUGGUCUGAGAGGAUGAUCAGCCACACUGGAACUGAGACACGGUCCAGACUCCUACGGGAGGCAGCAGUGGGGAAUAUUGGACAAUGGGCGCAAGCCUGAUCCAGCCAUACCGCGUGGGUGAAGAAGGCCUUCGGGUUGUAAAGCCCUUUUGUUGGGAAAGAAAUCCUGUCGGUUAAUACCCGGUAGGGAUGACGGUACCCAAAGAAUAAGCACCGGCUAACUUCGUGCCAGCAGCCGCGGUAAUAC